AACGAACGCUGGCGGCAUGCCUAACACAUGCAAGUCGAACGAGACCUUCGGGUCUAGUGGCGCACGGGUGCGUAACGCGUGGGAACCUGCCCUUAGGUUCGGAAUAACUCCCCUAAAGGGGUGCUAAUACCGGAUAAUGUCUUCGGACCAAAGAUUUAUCGCCUUUUGGUGGUCCCGCGUUGGAUUAUCUAGUUGGUAGGGUAAAAGCCUACCAAGGCGACGAUCCAUAGCUGGUCUGAGAGGAUGAUCAGCCACACUGGGACUGAGACACGGCCCAGACUCCUACGGGAGGCAGCAGUGGGGAAUAUUGGACAAUGGGCGAGAGCCUGAUCCAGCAAUGCCGCGUGAGUGAUGAAGGCCUUAGGGUUGUAAAGCUCUUUUACCCGGGAUGAUAGUGACAGUACCGGGAGAAUAAGCUCCGGCUAACUCCGUG
rnacentral:rRNA from 1 species